GGAUGUGAGGGUGACCUGGCUGCGACAUCUGUCACCCCAUUGAUUGCUAGGAUUGAUUCAGCUGAUCUGCCUGGCUAGGUAGGUGUCCCCUUCCUUCCUCACAGUUCCAUAUGCAUUCCUCCUGAAGCUGUGUGCUUGGUCAAAGAGGACCACCUUCCCCAACGGACGAGUUUUUGGUCAGUCGAGGAUAUACUAGUAGCUAUACUCCCCUGCUAGAACCUCCGCACAAGCUGUCAUUGCUCUAGCUGACUUUCACACAAAGGGAAGAGACACUAUACCACAGGAAGCUCUCCCUGAGUGCUGGCACUUCCCAUG
rnacentral:snRNA from 1 species